rnacentral:rRNA from 1 species
AUUGAACGCUGGCGGCAUGCUCUACACAUGCAAGUCGAACGGUAACAGGCCGCAAGGUGCUGACGAGUGGCGAACGGGUGAGUAAUGCAUCGGAACGUGCCCAGUCGUGGGGGAUAACGCAGCGAAAGCUGCGCUAAUACCGCAUACGAUCUGUGGAUGAAAGCGGGGGACCGAAAGGCCUCGCGCGAUUGGAGCGGCCGAUGUCAGAUUAGGUAGUUGGUGGGGUAAAGGCCCACCAAGCCAACGAUCUGUAGCUGGUCUGAGAGGACGACCAGCCACACUGGGACUGAGACACGGCCCAGACUCCUACGGGAGGCAGCAGUGGGGAAUUUUGGACAAUGGGCGCAAGCCUGAUCCAGCAAUGCCGCGUGCAGGAAGAAGGCCUUCGGGUUGUAAACUGCUUUUGUACGGAACGAAACGGCUCUGGUUAAUACCUGGGGCUAAUGACGGUACCGUAAGAAUAAGCACCGGCUAACUACGUGCCAGCCGCCGCGGUAAGAC